rnacentral:rRNA from 1 species
UACAGAGGGUGCGAGCGUUAAUCGGAAUUACUGGGCGUAAAGCGUGCGUAGACGGUUAUGUAAGUCGGGUGUGAAAGCCCCGGGCUCAACCUGGGAAUUGCAUUCGAGACUGUGUAGCUAGGGUGCGGAAGAGGGAAGCGGAAUUUCCGGUGUAGCGGUGAAAUGCGUAGAUAUCGGAAGGAACACCAGUGGCGAAAGCGGCUUCCUGGUCCAGCACCGGACGUCAGGCACGAAAGCGUGGGGAGCAAACAGGG